GAACUCCACUGUCUUACACCCUGUCUCUACCUCUGGCCUUCCACCCCAGAAUCGGGAUCCCAAGGUCACAAGGGCAUUGCAACGGAGAAGAAUUAGAUUUCCUUCUGAACGCUGAGACAAGCUCUACACGCACUUGCGGUGACUCCCUCGGGCUCUACUCCAUUUUCAACCCCUUGGAUUUAAACUCAGUGUGGAGGAUCUGUGCCAAGCACCUCCCGAACUCCUCCAGGACCAUCUGCUCGGCCAGGCACUCAGAACACUGCCCCUUCUCCGCCUCUUCCCCUUGAGCCAGCAGACAGGCGCACGUGGCCUCCACCACCUCCCAGGAGAUGCACGAGGGAGCCCGCCUGUCGGAAACAGACCAGUCAAAGGCCCGGCCCACCGCCCCGCUGUUUUCUCUGCAAGGAGCAUGCGGUCAUGAUACUGCCUGAACAUGUCACCAGAUGAAGAAACUGACACGCUGAGAGGUUCAAUCACAAACGGCCAGUGAUGACUCCGACCAAGUCCCCAGGCUCCAGUCCAGCCCAGGGUCACAAGCAGCGGGCCACACCUUUCUCAUACAGCACGCAUGGCUUUUUAUCCUGGUCAACACCUGGGACCUGUGCCGUCCCGCGCCAGGGCCACUAGAAAUCCCCAUCCUCACAGAAGGUCCUCUGGGUGGCACAGAGCCC
rnacentral:lncRNA from 1 species